AUUUAAAAUUUUAUUAAAAUAUUUUUUUUAAUAAAAUAUUAUUUUUUUUUAUUAUUAUUAUAGAAAAAAUUAAUUUAAUUAUAGUUUAUAGUAUAGUGAUAGAAAAAUUAAAUAUAUUGAAAAUUAAAAUACUUAAAAGAAUAAUUAAUUUUUAGUACCUUGUGUAUCAGGGUUUAUAAAUUAAAAAUUAUUAAUUUAAUUUUCUCGAUUUUAAAAGAGUUAAAAAUUUAUAUUUUUUUAUGUUUCAUAAUAAUUAAUAAUAAAUUUUUAGUAAUGAAAUGUUAUUCGUUUUUAAAUAUAUCUAGUUUUUUAAGAAAUAAAUUUAAUUUAUUUAUUAAUAAAAAUUAAUUUUAUUUAUAAAUUUAAUUUUAUUAAUAUUAAAUAUUUUAAGGGAUAAGCUUUAAAAUAAAAUUAUAUAAUAUUUUUAUAUAAAAAUUAAAUAUAGGAUUAAAAAUUUCUUUUAAUAAUAAUUUGUUAUAAUUAAUUUUUUUAUAUUAUUAUUUAUAUUUUAUUUAUAUUUUUUAUUAAAAAUUUUUAUUUAAUUUUAAAAUAUAAGUUAUAAUGAUAAAAUUAGUAUAAUUAUUAUUUAUAAAUAAAUUAAUUAAAAAAGUUUAAAUUAAGGAAUUCGGCAAAUAAUUUUUCGCCUGUUUAAUAAAAACAUGUCUUUUUGAUAAUAAUUUAAAGUCUGACCUGCCCAAUGAUAAAAAUUUAAUGGCCGCGGUAUUUUGACCGUGCAAAGGUAGCAUAAUCAUUAGUUUUUUAAUUGAAAGCUAGAAUGAAUGGUUGGACGAGAAAAUUACUGUCUCAAUUUAAUUUAAUUAGAAUUUUAUUUUUGAGUAAAAAAGCUUAAAUAAAUUUAAAAGACGAGAAGACCCUAUAGAGUUUUAUAUUUAUUUAAUUAUAAUUUUUUAUAAUUUUAUUUAAUUAAUUAAAUAUUUUAUUGGGGUGAUAUAUAAAUUUAUAAAACUUUAUUUUAUUUAUAACAUAGAUUAAUGAUUUAUUGAUCCAUUAUUAAUGAUUAUAAGAUUAAAUUACCUUAGGGAUAACAGCGUAAUCUUUUUAGAGAGUUCAAAUCGAAAAAAAGGAUUGCGACCUCGAUGUUGGAUUAAAAUUUAUUUUUGGUGUAGAAGCUAAAAUAUUGAGUCUGUUCGACUUUUAAAAUUUUACAUGAUCUGAGUUUAAACCGGUGUGAGCCAGGUUGGUUUCUAUCUUUAAAAAAUUAAAAUAUUUUAGUACGAAAGGACCAAAUAUUUAUAAAAUUUAUUAAAUAAGAAUAAUAUU
rnacentral:rRNA from 1 species